AUCUUCGGGGCGGGGUGCAAUUCCCCACCGGCGGUGACAGUCCGCGAACGCCCAAACGGGUGCCGAUCCGGUGAAAUUCCGGAACCGACGGUACAGUCCGGAUACAAGAAGA
rnacentral:ncRNA from 1 species